rnacentral:rRNA from 1 species
CCCUAGUAACUGCGAGUGAAGCGGGAAAAGCUCAAAUUUAAAAUCUGGCGGUCUUUGGCCGUCCGAGUUGUAGUCUGGAGAAGUGCUUUCCGCGCUGGACCGUGUAUAAGUCUCUUGGAACAGAGCGUCAUAGAGGGUGAGAAUCCCGUCUUUGACACGGACUACCAGUGCUUUGUGAUGCGCUCUCAAAGAGUCGAGUUGUUUGGGAAUGCAGCUCAAAAUGGGUGGUGAAUUCCAUCUAAAGCUAAAUAUUGGCGAGAGACCGAUAGCGAACAAGUACCGUGAGGGAAAGAUGAAAAGCACUUUGGAAAGAGAGUUAAACAGUACGUGAAAUUGCUGAAAGGGAAACGCUUGAAGUCAGUCGCGUUGUCCGGAACUCAGCCUUGCUUUUGCUUGGUGCACUUUCCGGAUGACGGGUCAGCAUCGAUUUUGACCGUCGGAAAAGGGCUGGAGUAAUGUGGCACCUUCGGGUGUGUUAUAGACUCUGGUCGCAUACGGCGGUUGGGAUCGAGGAACGCAGCGCGCCGCAAGGCAGGGGUUCGCCCACUUUCGCGCUUAGGAUGCUGGCAUAAUGGCUUUAAACGACCCGUCUUGAAACACGGACCAAGGAGUCUAACAUACCUGCGAGUGUUUGGGUGGAAAACCCGAGCGCGCAAUGAAAGUGAAAGUUGAGAUCCCUGUCGUGGGGAGCAUCGACGCCCGGACCAGACGUUCUCUGACGGAUCCGCGGUAGAGCAUGUAUGUUGGGACCCGAAAGAUGGUGAACUAUGCCUGAAUAGGGUGAAGCCAGAGGAAACUCUGGUGGAGGCUCGUAGCGAUUCUGACGUGCAAAUCGAUCGUCAAAUUUGGGUAUAGGGGCGAAAGACUAAUCGAA